ACUCACUCAUAAAUGGAUAUUAAAUGUAAAGCAAAGAAUAACCAGACUACAACCCACAACUCCAAAGAAGCUGGCUAACAAGGAAGACCCUAUAGAUCAAACAGUGAAGGCGAAAUAGAUGAGAUCAACAUGAGCAAACUGAGGUAGAUGGGAAUCAACACAGAGAUCAACAACUGGUCAAAAUGCAGAGUGAGAGACUUUGGACCACCUAGUCAUAAAUUGGAUGUCUUCAUCAAACCUCCUCCAUCAAGGCUCAGUGUUUAUGUAGAAAAGGAAGCAGAAUGAUUAUAAGAGCCAGUGCUUAUGGAUAAGGUCAAGGAAACUUUGGCUUCCAGACACAACAGGACCAAGACCAAUGCACAUAUGAACUCAGAGACUACGCCCAUACACAGAUGAUUUGCCCAGGUUCCAACAAGACAGGGUGCCAGCACUAAGAGGCAGAAGAAGACACAGGCUGCCAUCCAUAACCAGGACACAGUUUGUAAUUGAUAGCUGUUGGCAAAAGGAAAAGUCAGUGUUCUACUUGAAGCAUCACUGGGUAUAUCAAAGGCACUCCAGAGAAGACACUAUGACCAGGGGAAGUUGAUCAACACAAAGGAAGCAGUGUUCAAUUUUGUGUUUGUGGUAUUGUUGGGGGCUGAUUGUUCUCUUGUGGCGUGUUUGUCUUAUUGGUUGUAAGUUUGUAUUUUCAAUUUGGGGGUAGAUUUAAGAGAGAAAGAUUAUAAACUUGGGGGGUAGGUAGAUGGGGAAUAAUCUGGGAGUAUUUUGGUUGGGAAAAUAUGUUCAAAAUAUAUUGUACAUGCAAAUUUUUAAAUCAAAAAUGGAAGAAAAAACUCUUCAUAUAAUUGAGGUAUACAUGUUUCCCCCUAAUUGUAGAAAGUUCUAGAAUAAGGUCUUUGAUAACCAAUGCUAAAGGCAAAAUUUCAAUUUCAUCUUAUUUUUGCACUCAAAAUCUUUAAAAGUAACCUGAAAUUCUUUGCAUCAUAUGUAACACUUCAAAUUUUAAAGGAUGUCUACACAGUGGUUUCAUUGCUCAUUUAAAUCUCCAAAAUCACUCUGAGGUUAGGCUUCUUGUUUCUGGGUGUCCUAGAUCACUUGUGAUUAGAGUUUUGUAGUUUUCUUUUUUGUUUUUUCGUUUAUUACAUCAACUAUGAAAUUAGUGAAUGCAAGGCAAAUUCUUUACCACUCAACCACACACCCAGUCCUUCAAGUCUUAUUGUGAUAAGCUAUACAUAAAUUCUUCAAAUGUGGAUUUCAGCAUAUAGUCAAUAGGGCUUUUUAUUCCUUUCUUCACGUGUUUUAUGAAUGUUGGGACCAGACUGACAUAUAUUUCAACAGUAUUUGAAGACUUACAAAUCCUCAGCUGACAUAAUGACAUUGAUGUUUCAUCACAGAAUCUUUCUGAAUUAAAACUACCAGUUCAUAUGACUUAAAUAUGAAGUGAUAACCAUUAGUGUUAUGCCAUUUAGAGAAUAGUGAAUCUAUGUGAACUUUAAAUUUUCUUACCUAUCUCACAAGUAAAUGACUAAAAAUGC